UACAGAGGUGGCAAGCGUUGUUCGGAAUUACUGGGCGUAAAGGGCGCGUAGGCGGUCUUGCAAGUCCUGUGUGAAAUCCCUCGGCUCAACUGAGGAACUGCACAGGAAACUGCUUGGCUUGAGUUCGGGAGAGGGAAGCGGAAUUCCGGGUGUAGCGGUGAAAUGCGUAGAGAUCAUGAGGAAGACCAGUGGCGAAGGCGGGUCUCUGGACAGUUCCUGACACUGAGGCACGAAGGCCAGGGGAGCAAACGGG
rnacentral:rRNA from 1 species